rnacentral:lncRNA from 10 species
UCAAAGAGGAAUGACAGAUCCUCCUUCAUCAACAUGUUUUCCUUAGGAAUGGUGCCAGGAUGCAGGGCAUAAGUGAGAGGACAGUUCCCUUGGUUAUGAGGUAACUAAAAAUAGCCACCUUUGAAAGCCAUCAGAGGUCACUUGUUUUGAAGAAAAUCAUCAGAAGAACUUUGAACUAUAAGAUAUUGACUAUUAAAUCAUGUUAUUUUCUUCAUUUGUCAAAGUUAUUGGGAUGUAGCAAAUACUUGAGACUUUGAAUUGAGUAGAUUUUGAGUAGAUUUAUGAAUGAAAUCAAAGGACACACAAAAACAGUGUAAUUCACCCAUCUGGAGACUCCACGUAUGAGUUUGAAAACUUUUAGUAUGUAUGCCAAUUAGUCCAUCCAGCCAAAUAGGCACAACAAUUUUCCGAUAAUAAGAAAAAUAAGACCAAGAAGCUAGCUGGAAUACUAAGAAAAACAACAGAGGGAGUUAAAUUCUUCAUUAAAAUUGACCACUUCUAGAGGCCUUGCAGGAAAUAUUAAAAUAAGUUCUUCAAUGAGAAUGAAAAUGAUAUAGGUCAGAAACUUGGAUCUGCAUGAAGAUACACCUUAAAAAAGGAAGAGCAUCAGAAAAAUGAAUAAGUGAAGGUCAAGUGCUGUGCUGUACUGAUUGAUAGAUUGUCUCCAGCAGGAAGU